AGACUAGCCAUGCAGUCUAAGUAUAAGCAAUUAUACAGCGAAACUGCAGAUGGCUCAUUAAAACAGUUAUAGUUUAUUUGAUGGUCUCUUACUAUUUGGAUAACCGUAGUAAUUCUAGGGCUAAUACAUGCAUGAAAGCCUGACUCACGGAAGGCUGUAUUUAUUAGAAAAAACAUCAAUACCUUCGGGUUUCGAUGAAUCAUAGUAACUUUUCGAAUCGNAUGGCCUAGUGCCGGCGAUAGGUCAUUCAAAUUUCUGCCCUAUCAGCUUUCGAUGGUAGGAUAUGGGCCUACCAUGGCAUUAACGGGUGACGGAGAAUCAGUGUUCGAUUCCGGAGAGGGAGCCUGAGAAACGGCUACCACAUCCNAGGAAGGCAGCAGGCGCGCAAAUUACCCAAUCCUGAUACAGGGAGGUAGUGACAAGAAAUAACAAUAGACGGGACUAUUGUUCUGUCUAAUUGGAAUGAGUACAAUUUAAACAACUUAACGAGGAUCCNUUGGAGGGCAAGUCUGGUGCCAGCAGCCGCGGUAAUUCCNGCUCCAAUAGCGUAUACUAGAUGUUGUUGCAGUUAAAAAGCUCGUAGUUGGAUUUCUGGGAUUUUCAGCCGGCCGGCUCUUAGGAGUUGUAGCUAGGUUUGCAAGUCUCAUCUUCUCACAAUUCUCACUGGCCUUAAGCUGUUCGGUGCAGAGGACUGAGUCGUUUACUUUGAGAAAAUUAGAGUGUUCAAAGCANGCUAUCNCCUUGAAUAUAUUAGNAUGGAAUAAUGAUAUAGGACUUUGGUUCUAUUUUGUUGGUUGUUCGAGGACCGAANUAAUGAUUGAUANGGACGGNUGGGGGCGUCAGUAUUCUGAAGCGAGAGG
rnacentral:rRNA from 1 species